rnacentral:tRNA from 1 species
UGGAGGUUUGAGACUUAGGCUGCUAACUUGGGUUCGGGAAAUAUUGUUUUCCACCUUCAU